rnacentral:lncRNA from 1 species
UCAGUUUCGCUUAGGUACCUUUCGAGCAAUGUCAAUUGCUCGAUCUUGGCUUGUUGGGCAGCUGCAACCUUGGUAUGCUCUGCUUCACGCCUUGCAUUCUCAGCCGCCUGUUCUUCUAUCUUUUUGUGAGCUUGUUGUAAUUGAUCUUGCAGUGUGUUGAAUGCAAGAGUGCUUCCAGGGUACUUCCUUUUGCCGUUGACAAGUGACUGAGAAAGGCUUCCUACAC